rnacentral:rRNA from 1 species
UACGUAGGUGGCAAGCGUUGUCCGGAAUUAUUGGGCGUAAAGCGCGUGCAGGCGGUGGGCUAAGUUGGGUGUGAAAGCUCCUGGCUCAACUGGGAGAGGUCGCUCAAGACUGGCUGACUAGAGCAUGGUAGGGGAAGGUGGAAUUCCGGGUGUAGUGGUGAAAUGCGUAGAUAUCCGGAGGAACACCAGUGGCGAAAGCGGCCUUCUGGACCAUGACUGACGCUGAGGAGCGAAAGCAUGGGGAGCGAACAGG